GCGGGAUUAGCACAUCGGUAGUGCAUCAGCUUCCCAAGCUGAGGAGGAGGGUCCGACUCCCUUAUCCCGCU
rnacentral:tRNA from 1 species